GUGAAUGUAUAUAUGGAAGAUCACCCAAAAGGUAAGUUACUUAACCUGCAACAUUUUACUGUUGAGAUAUUUAUAUAUACAUAUACAUAUUAAAAUAACUCUCUUUCCUGCUGUUCUCUGACAAGUUCAAAAUCUAUGUUCUAUUCUUAGGAUCGGAAGAUCCCCAUUCAAUUUUAUUGCUGCCUGGACCGCAUGUCAGGGCAUGCGGUUGCAAUAUACCACUCUAGAUGCUGCUGGGGUAAAACUUAGGCGAACAGCAUACUUGUAGGCAGUGUAUAUAAAAUACAUUUCAAAGAAUAGUAGCAAGUAAGUGACAGGUAAUGUUUUGUUCUUCACUAUCCAUCUUGUACAACAGCAUUAUAGCAACCCUUACCUCUGUAUGUCUGGUGAGUAGCUCUUGUUUAUAAAUACAGAUGAUAUAGGCUGUAAAUACAGGCUUAGAAUCCCGAAGAAGAAAUGUAUCACGGGUUUUGGUGAAAAUGAUCCCCUUUGAGCAGUACCCACUAUGGAGGUGAGUAGAGUGAGAAACAAACCUAACUGUAAUAGCCCACAGUCCUUUGAGGGGACUAAAUCUGCCCCUGAGUUCCCAGGAUUAGGCUGUGAAAUAUAGCACUGCUUCAUCUUUUUGAAUGAAUGCAGCAUACACCAGGUGCUGUGUUUUCCAUUACCUAAUAGCAUGGUAUAGGCAGCCAGGACGAUGGUAACUGCAUUAUUAUUUUCAGCAGUUACAAUGUGUAAGGAGCUUUUCUGAGAAUGUACAUGGUAAGUCCUGCAGGCUAAUCUUUAUACUUAAACACUUCGUCUCCACUUGGAUGAGAUCCUUAAGCAUGUAAGGAUCCCAGUGUCUUCACUAAGACCGGGUACUUAUUCUUGGACAUGUGUGUUUUGUGGAAUGAAUCUCACAAGGUUUUAUUUUAAUUUUUUUGUAAAUAGUUGGGUUUAAGCUAUUUGGGAGUGUUUCAGCUUUAAAAGUUUCUGCUCUAAAAUCCUCAUUUUGCCUCAGUUAAAACCGAGCUCCAUCCAGAAUAUUCUGUUUUAGUAUAAAUAAUAGAAUAAAAAGCCUGAGUAUUUUCUCAAAAAUAACAGCUUUUUAAGAUUCCUUUCUUUCACAGGGACAGAACAGUUGAAAUUAAAAGAAUGAAAAUUAUUCUGAGAUUUUUUAAUGAAUUGUCAGCAAUUUGUUGUAUUUUCAGAGUAUUUACUUCAACAAAUGACUUAAGGUACUUAACAAAUCAUUUAAAAUUAUGUAUGAAACUCUUCUUUUUCCUUUGUAGUGGUAAUUUGCCAAGAAGACCAUAUAUAAAAGGAAGAUCAUGCAGUCAUUGUGCAAAAGGGGACACCUGUGAAAAUAACCUGUGUAGAAAUGUAGAACGCGAUAAACUUAUCUAUUAUUCAGGAUGGCACCCCCCUUGGGAGUUCAGCAUCACAUGCAAUGAGGCUUGUGUCGGUCUUGUGGUUUUGAGAAUAGUACUGUUACUUCUUGCUUUUGUCUCAGUUUAUUUUAUCAGAAACUACUUUACAGACAUGCCUAUAAACACCUAAUUGGAUUUGAAACACACAGUAUCUUCUGAAGAUAGUUGCUAAUGAAAUAAGCAAAAAAGUCGUACUGAUUUGACAUUAAAGACAACUUUGACAGUAAUUUUGUUUCUAUUAAUUAUUUUAUGCUCCUUAGAGAAACCUAACAUGCCAAAAAAAAAAAAAAAGUGAAAUUAUAUGUGGGUAAAACCCAUAUUGGGAAAA
rnacentral:lncRNA from 1 species